rnacentral:rRNA from 1 species
UACGUAGGGUGCGAGCGUUGUCCGGAUUUAUUGGGCGUAAAGGGCUCGUAGGCGGCCUGUCGCGUCGGGAGUGAAAGCCCACUGCUUAACGGUGGGUCUGCUUUCGGUACGGGCGGGCUAGAGUAUGGCAGGGGAGACUGGAAUUCCUGGUGUAGCGGUGGAAUGCGCAGAUAUCAGGAGGAACACCGGUGGCGAAGGCGGGUCUCUGGGCCGUAACCGACGCUGAGGAGCGAAAGCGUGGGGAGCGAACAGG